GUGAGGAAUUUUCCGCAAUGGGCGAAAGCCUGACGGAGCAAUGCCGCGUGAAGGAUGAAGGCCUAUGGGUUGUAAACUUCUUUUCUCAGAAAAGAAUUAUGACGGUAUCUGAGGAAUAAGCAUCGGCUAACUCUGUGCCAGCAGCCGCGGUAAGACAGAGGAUGCAAGCGUUAUCCGGACUGAUUGGUCGUAAAGCGUCUGUAGGUUGUUUAAAAAGUAUUCUGUCAAAGAUUAGGGCUUAACCCUAGAUAGGCAGAAUAAACUUUUAAGCUAGAGUUUGGUAGAGGCAGAGGGAAUUCCCGGUGGAGCGGUGAAAUGCGUAGAUAUCGGGAGGAACACCAAAGGCGAAGGCACUCUGCUGGGCCAAUACUAACACUGAGAGACGAAAGCGAGGGGAGCAAAUGGGAUUAGAUACCCCAGUAGUCC
rnacentral:rRNA from 1 species